rnacentral:rRNA from 1 species
UACGUAGGGGGCCAGCGUUGCUCGGAAUUACUGGGCGUAAAGGGUCCGUAGGCGGUGUGGUAAGUCGAUAGUGAAAUCUCUGGGCUUAACUCAGAGGCUGCUAACGAAACUGCCAUGCUCGAGUGUGAGAGAGGCGAGUGGAAUUACGGGUGUAGCGGUGAAAUGCGUAGAUAUCCGUAGGAACAUCCGAGGCGAAAGCGGCUCGCUGGAUCACAACUGACGCUGAGGGACGAAAGCUAGGGGAG